rnacentral:rRNA from 1 species
UACGUAGGGGGCAAGCGUUGUCCGGAUUUAUUGGGCGUAAAGAGCGUGUAGGCGGCCUGAAAGGUCAGCUGUGAAAACUCGAGGCUCAACCUCGAGACGUCGGUUGAAACCAUCUGGCUAGAGUCCGGAAGAGGAGUGUGGAAUUCCCGGUGUAGCGGUGAAAUGCGUAGAUAUCAGGAGGAACACCUGUGGCGAAAGCGGCUCACUGGACCAUAACUGACGCUGAUGCACGAAAGCUAGGGGAGCAAACAGG